UUGUGCAAUGGGGGAAACCCUGACGCAGCGACGCCGCGUGAGUGAUGAAGGCCUUAGGGUUGUAAAGCUCUGUUCUUAGGGAAUAAGUUCUGAAGGUACCUAAGAAGAAAGGACCGGCUAACUUCGUGCCAGCAGCCGCGGUAAUACGAGGGGUCCUAGCGUUGUUCGGAAUUAUUGGGCGUAAAGCGGGUGCAGGUGGCCAUUUAAGUCGGGAGUGAAAUCCCUGGGCUCAACCCAGGAAGGGCUUCUGAUACUGGAUGGCUUGAAUAUCGGAGAGGGCAGUAGAAUUCCAGGUGUAGUGGUGAAAUACGUAGAUAUCUGGAGGAAUACCGGCGGCGAAGGCGGCUGCCUGGCCGAAUAUUGACACUCAGACCCGAAAGCGUGGGGAGCAAACAGGAUUAGAUACCCUGGUAGUCCACGCCGUAAACGAUGAACCUUGGUGUUGGUGGUUUUGACCCCAUCAGUGCCGUAGCAAACGCGUUAAAGUGUUCCGCCU
rnacentral:rRNA from 1 species